CAAGAGAUUAAAGAAACAAACAAAAAAAAAAACUACUGUGGAUUAAUUUUAAACUCUUUUUGUUCAUACAAAUCCAAGUUCGUAGUCUUAAUCCUUUCGUGGCCUACUGGGUUGUUAUGACGGUCUAUAUUUCCAAAAAAUAAAAAAAAAAUUGUAGAGACAUGUGCGGCUAAAAAUGUUCGUGGGUUAACGAUGCAGUUGGAAGGUCUAUGGCGUUCGGGAGGCGCACUGUUUAGUUCUAAUCAAGUCUUUAAUCAAGAAGUGAUGGCUAUUUUAUCAGCAUCUCAGUCAUCUCAACCCCAAAGAUUCUCCAGGACUAAUAGAAAUAUCUUCAAGUACUGUGAAAUGAUGUUACAGCAAUGUACAUGACUUGGUUGUUCUGGUGGGUGAUUAAGGAGGAAUGCCUGUCAUUUUUUCGUACUGCUGAGGCUGCUUGACGUAAGCGAUUAAACGAUGACUUCACAAAAAUGGAUCCCUCAAACUUUACUCUUGCAGUAAACAGGCGGAGCUACUCAAGCCAAAUAUUAUGGUUUACGUCUCAUUUGAAUGCCGCCAGUAAAUAUUUAUGUGAGCGGCUGUUAAAUAAAAACUAUUUGCAAUACAACUUGAUGCGCUGUUUACUUAAAUGGUCGAAAAGCAAAACAUGUCAUACCCCGGUCUUCUAAAGGUGUGUCAGAAAAUGUAAGACCAUUAUCAAUCCUUGAGAAUAUUUUCAUAAACGUUUCAAUUUUCGUUCGUCUCCAAACACUAAUUAUCGACUUCCAAAAAUAAAAUAAAAAAUAAUAUGGAUUGAAUGUUGGUUUAACCACACGCAGAGAUGACCAUAACAAGUUCACACUUCACAAUUGACGAAUAAAAUCAACAGUUAUAACAUGUUAAUUACCACGACGACUGCGAUGAAAAGCCUAUUAUUUUUUCUUAUCUGCACCUCGUGUGCAGACGCAUCUAGAGGCUAGAAAAUCACGAAAAAUUGUUGCGAAAUUAA